rnacentral:rRNA from 1 species
AGCAGUAGGGAAUCUUCCACAAUGGGCGAAAGCCUGAUGGAGCAACGCCGCGUGGGUGAAGAAGGUCUUCGGAUCGUAAAACCCUGUUGUUAGAGAAGAAAGUGCGUGAGAGUAACUGUUCACGUUUCGACGGUAUCUAACCAGAAAGCCACGGCUAACUACGUGCCAGCAGCCGCGGUAAUACGUAGGUGGCAAGCGUUAUCCGGAUUUAUUGGGCGUAAAGGGAACGCAGGCGGUCUUUUAAGUCUGAUGUGAAAGCCUUCGGCUUAACCGGAGUAGUGCAUUGGAAACUGGGAGACUUGAGUGCAGAAGAGGAGAGUGGAACUCCAUGUGUAGCGGUG